UGAGGAAUAUUGCUCAAUGGACGAAAGUCUGAAGCAGCAACGCCGCGUGAGGGAUGAAGGUGCUCUGCAUUGUAAACCUCUGUAGUCGGGGAAAAAUGGCGGGUUACUACCCGUUUGAUGGUACCCGAAAAGUAAGGAUCGGCUAACUACGUGCCAGCAGCCGCGGUAAUACGUAGGAUCCAAGCGUUGUCCGGAUUUACUGGGUGUAAAGGGUGCGCAGGCGGACUUGUAAGUCAGAGGUGAAAUCCCGUCGCUCAACGACGGACCUGCCUUUGAUACUGCAAGUCUUGAAUAAGCGAGAGAUUCGUGGAAUUCCGAGUGUAGCAGUGAAAUGUGUAGAUAUUCGGAAGAACACCAGUGGCGAAGGCAGCGAAUUGGCGCUUUAUUGACGCUCAGGCACGAAAGCAUGGGGAUCAAACAGGAUUAGAUACCCCCGUAGUCC
rnacentral:rRNA from 1 species